rnacentral:tRNA from 1 species
GCGGGCGUGGCGAAAUGGUAGACGCAGGCGACUUAAAAUCGCCUUCCUCUGGAGUAGGGGUUCGAGUCCCCUCGCCCGCACCA